GCGUGCCUAAUACAUGCAAGUCGAGCGGACAGAUGGGAGCUUGCUCCCUGAUGUUAGCGGCGGACGGGUGAGUAACACGUGGGUAACCUGCCUGUAAGACUGGGAUAACUCCGGGAAACCGGGGCUAAUACCGGAUGGUUGUUUGAACCGCAUGGUUCAAACAUAAAAGGUGGCUUCGGCUACCACUUACAGAUGGACCCGCGGCGCAUUAGCUAGUUGGUGAGGUAACGGCUCACCAAGGCAACGAUGCGUAGCCGACCUGAGAGGGUGAUCGGCCACACUGGGACUGAGACACGGCCCAGACUCCUACGGGAGGCAGCAGUAGGGAAUCUUCCGCAAUGGACGAAAGUCUGACGGAGCAACGCCGCGUGAGUGAUGAAGGUUUUCGGAUCGUAAAGCUCUGUUGUUAGGGAAGAACAAGUACCGUUCGAAUAGGGCGGUACCUUGACGGUACCUAACCAGAAAGCCACGGCUAACUACGUGCCAGCAGCCGCGUUAAAUA
rnacentral:rRNA from 1 species